rnacentral:lncRNA from 1 species
UGGCCAGAGGGCUCGGUGUGAGGCCAGGAGACCCGGGCCAGCCUCUGUCUCUGUGACCUUCCCUGGACCUCAGAUUUCCUUCCACGAAGUCAGGAGGGGGUGAGGUCUGCAGGACUCUUCCCACUUACGGUUUUCUGGGGUUUCACCCGUGGCCUAAACGCCUUCAGAAUCGGCGCCCUCUGUCUGGCCCACCCUCCCGCAGAAGGGCAGGGCCAGGUCUCCAGCCCCGCCUUCGCCCUCCCAUCUUCUCAGGAGCACUGAAUGCCCGAGCAAGCAGAAGAGGAAGAGCCAGGUGUCAGAGUUCUGGGAUCCCAGGACAUGAAUCUUUUCCUGCCCCUCGGACAGAGGCUGGGCACAGAGACAGAACCGCUGGCAGGAGCUCUCACCACCUCCAGUGUGCAUUCUGUCCGCUUCCUGCCGUUGGCCUGAGUUGUGGCCUGUAGUUCUGGAUGCAAAUACCCCCACCCCAGCUGCAUGUGACGCAUGCUGAGCCGUCACUGAGCUGGAGGCGCUGUGCUGCGCGUGGCCGUCAAGUCUCACUUUCGUCUCAGAAUCUGGUGGACACCGUCGGUUUCUCCAUUUUACUGAACUUGAGAAAGCUGUGCCCAAUGUCACAUGGUUGCACUCUGUGCCUGGCACUGGUCUAAGGGCUGGGCUCCAGCAGGGAAAAGACGAGACAAAAGGUCCUGAGGGCAGCAGACAUGUGACAUGAAAUAAGGAGGCCCUGGAGAAAAGGUGACAUCUCAGCAAAGACUUGAGUGGGGCGACAUGAAGGGCAGAUCAUCUGGCUCUCUGGGGGGAGAGUGCCCAGCGGAGGGAACAGCAGGUGCAAAGGCUCGGAGGUGACACUUGAGGGACAGGAAGGCGGCGGUGCGGCCAGAGCAGUUCAGAAGACGACAAGGCUGAAGUCAAGGCAUCAGCAGGGCCACACUUCCUCUGAGACAUGGGUAGAACCCUUCCUUGUCUCUUCCUAGCUCCUAGUGGUGGCCAGCAAUCCUUGGCUUGCAGCAGCAUCACUCUGAUCUCUGCCUCGGUCGUCACGUGGAAUUCUCCC